rnacentral:rRNA from 1 species
CCUANAUAAGCAUUANACAGCGANCUGCGAAUGGCUCAUUAUAUNCAGUUAUCGUUUAUUUGAUAGUACCUUACUACAUGGAUAACCGUGGUAAUUCUAGAGCUAAUACAUGCUAAAAAUCCCGACUUCGGAAGGGAUGUAUUUAUUAGAUUAAAAACCAAUGCCCUUCGGGGCUCCCUGGGGAAUCCUAGAAACUUCCCCAAACCCACGGGCCCCCCCCCGGGAAGGGUCCUUCCAAUUUCUUCCCUAUCAACUUUUCANGGCUNGGGAAUGGCCCUNUGGGUNGNAGGNAAGGG